UUCCGGGCUACAGCAGCCGACGCCGAGAGGCACCGUUUCUUCUUAAAAGAGAAACGCUGCGCGCGCGAGGUGGGCCCCGGUCUUCCAGCAGCUCCGGGCUUGCUCGCUAGGCCCGGGAGGCGCAGGCGCAGGCGCAGUGGGGGUGAGGGCGCGUGGGGGCGCACAGCCUCUGGUGCACAUGGCUUCCUCCCCGGCGGUGGACGUGACCUGCAGGCGGCGGGAGAAGCGGCGGCAGCUGGACGCGCGCCGCAGCAAGUGCCGCAUCCGCCUGGGCGGCCACAUGGAGCAGUGGUGCCUCCUCAAGGAGCGGCUGGGCUUCUCCCUGCACUCGCAGCUCGCCAAGUUCCUGUUGGACCGGUACACUUCUUCAGGCUGUGUCCUCUGUGCAGCCGAGAGUGCAGCCUGGUGCCCGGGCUUCGGGGGCCUGGCGGCCAAGAUGGGGGGCUUGUGUGGGAGUGCUC
rnacentral:sRNA from 1 species